GCAUGCUCCUUAUCCUGAACCAUCAGUCACCCUAGAAUUAUAUAUAAGAAUCCCUGCUCUGGGUAAGUAUUUUUAUUUUUUAAAAGUAAUAAUUGUUUUUGAGGGUGGUGGUCAUCAUCAUCAUUGUUUGUUAUAAACUGGGAAAGACGCAGAGCCCAAGCUUUCAAGACUGAGUUUUAACGGUGCGGAACACUGACCCCAGUACAAAAGGGACUGAUUUCCUUUGUUUAUUUAUGAGAAAUGACAGAGGAGGUGCAUGGAUAUUUGCUCAUUAUGUAGAAUAUAAUUAGUCUAAAUCGUCUAGGUUUUAUACCUAUACAUAGGCCUCUAAUUACCCACUCCAAUAUCUCACAAGGGAUGUCAUCAUGAAUUCUAGUUGCCUUGCUGGUUGUUGUUAUGUGCAUGGAUCGAUGUUCAUUUACGUUGAAUUAUACAUAUAUUUUUGUGGAAA